GUACUAGUUUUGGCAUUACAUAUAUUAAAAGUGGAAUCAUACAGAGAUUAGCAUGGCUUCUGCAAAUUUGUGAAGCAUUCCAGGGUCUG
ensembl:snRNA U6 U6 spliceosomal RNA